rnacentral:rRNA from 1 species
UGAACGCUGGCGGCAGGCCUAACACAUGCAAGUCGAGCGGCAGCGGAAGGAAGCUUGCUUCCUUGCCGGCGAGCGGCGGACGGGUGAGUAAUGUCUGGGGAUCUGCCCGAUGGAGGGGGAUAACUACUGGAAACGGUAGCUAAUACCGCAUAACGUCGCAAGACCAAAGUGGGGGACCUUCGGGCCUCACACCAUCGGAUGAACCCAGAUGGGAUUAGCUAGUAGGCGGGGUAAAGGCCCACCUAGGCGACGAUCUCUAGCUGGUCUGAGAGGAUGACCAGCCACACUGGAACUGAGACACGGUCCAGACUCCUACAGGAGGCAGCAGUGGGGAAUAUUGCACAAUGGGGGAAACCCUGAUGCAUUCUUUUUGCCGCGUGUAUGAAGAAGGCCUUCAGGGUUGUAAAGUACUUUCAGCGGGGAGGAAGGCAGUGAACUUAAUACGUUCGCUGAUUGACGUUACCCGCAGAAGAAGCACCGGCUAACUCCGUGCCACCAGCCGCGGUAAUACGGAGGGUGCAAGCGUUAAUCGGAAUGACGGGGCGUA